CCAUAAUGCAACACCCCCUGCUGACAUUCCACCAAACAAGUGUGUGCUUUUGUCUGAUUCGACCCUGCCCAGCUUUUUACACCUGCAUGGAAUUACCUUUUAAAGUAUCAUCAGAAGCAGCCGAGGUGAUAAAACUAAACGCCUCCUCGUGCCAAAGGGCAGGGGGUGUUUCAUUAUGGUGGAGCAUUAUGGCAGAGAUCAAUCGAGAUCGGAGCACACAUGAUGGAGGUGGGUUAACACCGUGUGCAUUUACAAGAGUUCACGAACGAAUUGUAAACGGAUUAAAAAACACAACAAACUGCAAGAGUCUCGGCGGAGCGUCUUCACCGAGCGAGGGAAGACUUCACCGAAAUGACGUCACGGAGAUUCCCGAAAACUCCAACCUGAGUGUCGUUUUCCACCCUCCCCCUCAACACACACACACACACACACACACACACACACACACACACACACACACACACACACACACACACCACACACACACACACACACACACACACACACACACACACACACACACACACACACACACACACACACGUCACGAGACGAAGGGAGGUGUGAAUUGGAGGUUGUACGAGGAAACACCUCAAAUGCCCUUUUUUGGUGUUUCAUCGACACAUCCAGCGGUUCGACAGUUACCGAAGUCCACACACUAUCAGCGUCGCGAUGUACACACGGAUGGACAACGUUUUAAACAUGGACACAUCGUUCCGCUGGCUCCUUCUGUUCAUCGAUCUCUACCUUUUACUGUCCUCGGCGAACGCAACCGCCGACACAGAACCACUGGAUGAAGAGAUCAAGAAAAAGUGUAACUUCUCUCUCAAUGAAAUCCAAGACUGUAAGCACCGUGCCUGUAUGGAAACAAAUUUACAAUGUCAGAAAUUGAAGAAUGACCAGGACACAGUAGAAAGUUGUCAAAUUGAUGAGUGCAUGAAAGGAAAAAAAAGAUGCGAAAAAGUUCUGAACAGAUAUCUCACUGAUGAACAAAUUUGCGAGGGAGACGAGUUUUCAAACGUGGACGGAUAUUGUAUGAAGUCACAUCGAAAGUCGCUCAAAGAUCUCAUAGAAUGCAAGACAACCGGCUACCUGGAUGCGAAGAAAACUUGUUUUAAGUUGGACUACAAAGGCCGCAUCCAGAAACAGGCAAUGAAAGAAUUUAAUAAAAAGACAUGCGAUGAAGCCUUACAAUGCACGCUGGAUAACUGCUUUGAAGAUGUGCAACAAUGUCUGCGGAAUUAUCAUGAGAAGUUGUCUAUGGAUCCAGGGAAAUACAGACAUUUUGAGCUUAGCCACUGUGCCUACAUUGCAGUCGAUUAUCCUCACGAGUGUGAGACAUUCACAUCCACCUCUUGUUCAAAGGAGCUGAAGGAGUGCAAUGGCAAAUGUGCUUUAUCAUCCCUUGGAAUUGGUGUUGGUGUGGUUAUUUUGGUUAUUCUGGCAAUAAUCAUACUGGCUGGAAUCGCCGUAUGGUGUGCCCGACGUCGACGACAUCGUUCUCCUGCAACCUGACUUGAGCCUGUCUGCUGUGAGUUCCUGAGAGCAUUCGUGCUGCCGAAGCAGUCUCCUUGGCUCUUGGACACAAUCCUGGACGGGUCGCCCACUCCGACACAGGCUCCCGGCAAGCUGGUACUCAUUUUGCCGACCUCGGAAGGAUGACAGGCAGAGUCAACCCCACCUGGUAUUAAUUAAACAGCCGAGCAGGAUUUGAACUCAGGACCCAAGGAUGUCUAAUACUGUGUGAUACAUCUCCAAAAGUCAAUUUGAUACCUCUUUGUAUGAAUCGUUCUGCUUUGAUCCAUCGACGACACAUCACAAGUGGGAUAAACAGCGUAUCUUUUUGGCCUCAAAACAGCACUGAUCGAAAUAGCUAAAUAUAUUUCCUGUGAAUGUAAUAACUCCAAUAAAGUAGGAUGUGAAUGUUUGAUCGAUCGUCUUAUUGGUUCCACGAUGGGCGAUCUUGUUCCAAGUAUGCAACAUGCAACAUACUCUUCUGACGCAUACCUUUAUUUGGGUGGUGCAUGGGCAACAACAAAUAACCUGGGUUUAUGUGCAUGAAGCAAAAACAAACCUGUUUAUAAUUCAAAACACCUCACUGGACGGGAAAACGUGGGGACAGGAAUGGGGGACUGUAAAUGGUGGAGACUUGUAAUACCUCCGACACCUGGAGGUGGCGACACGAUACAUAUUUACAUGG
ensembl:lincRNA